UCAGUAGUCAUAUGCUUGUCUCAAAGAUUAAGCCAUGCAUGUCUAAGUAUAAGUUUUUUACUGCGAAACUGUGAAUGGCUCAUUAUAACAGUUAUUAUUUCCUAGCCGGUCAGUUAUUCCUUGGAUACCCAUGGUAAUUCUAGAGCUAAUACAUGCUUACAGACCCAACUUCACGGAAGGGUUGCGCUUAUUAGAUACGAACCAACCCCGCAAGGGAUUCAGUUGAUUCAUAGUAUUCUGGCGAAUCGACUUUCAGUCGAUGAGGCUAUCAAGUUUCUGACCUAUCAGCUUCCGACGGUAGGGUAUUGGCCUACCGUGGCUUUGACGGGUAACGGAGAAUUAGGGUUCGAUUCCGGAGAGGGAGCCUGAGAAACGGCUACCACAUCUAAGGAAGGCAGCAGGCGCGUAAAUUACCCAAUCCUGACACAGGGAGGUAGUGACAAGAAAUAUCAAUAUAAGACUUUUGUGUCUUGUAAUUGGGAUGAGCGGAACUUAAAUCGCUUCUCGAGUAUCAAUU
rnacentral:rRNA from 1 species